rnacentral:lncRNA from 1 species
AUGGAAGUUGCAAGAAGAGUGCAAGGAGAUUGCAAAGAGGGUGCAAGGAGGCUGCAAGGAGAGUUCAUGCAAAUUGCACGGAGGGUGCCCGGAGGGUGCCGGGGAUUGCACGGAGGGUGCAUGGAAGUUGCAUUAAGGGCGGAAGGAGAUUGCGCGGAGGGUGCGUGGAAGUUGCAUGGACGGGACAAGGAGGGUGCAUGGCAGUUGCGCGGAGGGCGCAAGGAGGUUGCUCGGCGGGGCCGGGCAGGGCUGGGAAUGCCCGCGGCUGCCCCGCCGCCCCGGGACGGGCUGGCAGCGGGGGCAGGCGGCGCCCGGAGCUCCGGUUUCUGGCUCUUUCCCCGGCUUUGCCCUCGCUGCCUAGGAGGCCGGGCAGCGGCCCCGGGCGCGCUCCAUGGCUUUGCAGAUCCGCUGGGAAUCAGCCCCGGGAGCAUCCAGCACCUGCGCCGGCGAGGGGCUGCCCCAGCCGUCGCGUCCCGCGGGGAAGGCGCGUCCCGCCGAGCCGCGGCUGCGAGGCCCCUCGCAGCGGGGCGGCCGCCUUGGCACCCCCCCCCCCCUUCGGCAGGGCUCGUUUUGGAGCCCCCCAGGCAGUGUCAGAAGGAAAGGUUCUGGCUGCAGGGGCCGUGGGGGAGAACAAAGACAAUUGUGCUAUGGAAAAGGCAAAGUGAUUUGUGUUCAGGGCAAAAAGCAGAGGCGGAGAGGCCCCCCGUGCUUGGGCAGUGCGUUUCCCUGGGAAAUGCAACGGGGACGCUUGGCGGAGAGGCUCCCCUGUGCUUGGGCAGUGCGUUUCCCUGGGAAAUGCAAUGGGAACCCUUGGUGGAGAGGCUCCCCCGUGCUUGGGCAGUGCGUUUCCCUGGGAAAUGCAAUGGGGACCCUUGGUGGAGAGGCUUCCCAAUGCUUGGGCAGUGCGUUUCCCUGGGAAAUGCAAUGGGGACCCUUGGUGGAGAGGCUUCCCAAUGCUUGGGCAGUGCGUUUCCCUGCGAAAUGCAAGGGAGACCCUUGGCUGAGACUCUGCAGUGCUGA